UGAGGAAUUUCUGUGCGUGACACUCCCUCUGCCCCUCCCCCCGCCGUCUCACCCACGCGCCCCCUGCCCUCACUGCGCCGGUCGCCGUCGCCGCUCCCUCUGCCCCUCACCCGCCGUCUCACCCAUGCGCCCCCUGCCCUCACCGCGCUGGUCACCGCCGCUGCUCCCUCUGCCCCUCACCCCGCCGCGACUUACCCAAAUCAACCACCAUUAAUCUCCGGUGAAAAAGAAAGAGGUAACCUACAGUUCUUUCGUAAUUCCUGUGUAAAAUGGUUAACGUUAGUAGCUCAUGCUUUAGUAUAGAGCUGUUUCUGCUCCGAAUUCAGUUGAAUUCCCAUGCCGGUUCUUGAUUGGGCGAUUUUGUCCUGGAUUUUCUUGUUUGAGCAACAGGAAGAAUUUGGAAGGGAGAUGGUUCUUGAUUCUGUUAUGGCUUUCAGUUCAUGUGAACGGCCCAAACCUUUCAGUUAUUUCUUCACGGAAUUAACAUUACUUCAUGUCCCAAAAUCUUGGUUUUUGUAGUAUGUAAUGCAUAAUUUGUAAACCUUUGCUGUUCUUCACUUGUUCCUGUCAUUUUCCUUUGUAAGUUUUCCAUGAAUUAUACUGUGUGUAGUAAAUCAUGUGUUGGUUAGCUUGCGUCCACGUACUGACAUACUGUUCCUACUGCAAUUUUGCGUUAGAGCUGGGUCCUGGGGUUUACCGCAUUGCCUAAUUUGCACCCAACAUCAAUUUACCUUCUUAUCUAAACUAAUAUUAGCUUGUAUGCGCUAAAGAGGGUGCGAAUUUUCAGAUCGUUAGGGUACUUGCAGACUGAAUUUCGUUUCAAUUUUUGUUCCCGAUUUUCAGACCAGCAUGCUCUCCUAUUUCAGGGCAACUCCAUAUCACUG
rnacentral:lncRNA from 1 species